rnacentral:rRNA from 1 species
CCCACGAAUACUGGGCCUAGAGCGUUCGUAGCCGGCCAGAUAAGUCUUCUGUGAAAUAGUGUGGCUUAACCUCACUGCGCGCAGGAGAUACUGUUUGGCUUGGGAACGGGGGAGGUCAGGAGUACACCCGGGGUAGGGGUAAAAUCCGUUGAGCCUGGGUGGACUACCAGUGGCGAAGGCGCCUGACCAAAACGUGUCCGACGGUGAGGAACGAAAGCUGGGGGAGCGAACGGGAUUAGAUACCCCGGUAGUCCCAGCUGUAAAUAAUGCGGACUGUGGUGUUGCUUCAGAGUUAAUCUGCAGCAGUGCUGUAGCGUAGGUGUUAAGUCCGCCGCCUGGGGAGUACGGCCGCAAGGUUGAAACUUAAAGGAAUUGGCGGGGGAGCACCACAAGGGGUGGAUGCUACGGUUUAAUUGGAUACAACGCCGGGAUGUUUUCCACAAGGGGGGCGACAAAUAAAGCCCAGUCUAAAGAUCUUGCCUAACAAGCCGAGAGGUGUUGCAUGGCCAUCGUCAGCUCGUGGCGUGAGUUGUCUGGUUAAGUCCAGCAACGAGCGAGACCCAUACCAUUAAUUGCUACUUUUACCUUUAGUAAGAGGCACCUUAAUGGGACUGCCCGCGUUAAGUGGGAGGAAGGAGUGGGCGACGGUAGGUCAGUAUGGCCCGAAUCCCUUGGGCUACACGCGGCAUGCAAUGGCUGGAACAAUGGGUUGCUACUCCGAAAGGAGGCGCUAAUCCCCUAAAUCCAGUCUUAGUUCGGAUUGAGGGUUGAAACUCACCCUCAUGAAGCUGGAAUCCCUAGUAAUCGCGUGUCAUCAUCGCGCGGUGAAUACGUCCCCGCUCCUU